AGCUCCAAUAGCGUAUACUAACGUUGUUGCAGUUAAAAAGCUCGUAGUUGGAUUUCUGAAGGUGGUUGGAUUGGUGUGACCUCGUGUUGCCUCAACCAUACUAUUUUCAACAUAUGCGAUGAAUUGGUGUGGUUAAUUAAGUUUGAUCCGCCAUUAAAUCGCUCGUUUACUUUGAGAAAAUUAGAGUGUUCAAAGCAGGCAUAACGCCUUGAAUAUGUUAGCAUGGAAUAAUAGCAUAGGACUUUGGUUCUAUUUGUUGGUUGUUCGAGAACCGGAGUAAUGAUUGAUAGGGGACGGUUGGGGGGCAUCCGUAUUCUCAAGCGAGAGGUG
rnacentral:rRNA from 1 species